rnacentral:tRNA from 1 species
GUUCUUGUAGUUGAGGGUGUUCAACGGUGGUUUUUCAAGCCACAAGCCUUGGAUAAAAGCCAAGCAAGAACU